UACGAGGGGGGCAAAUGUUGUUCGGAAUCACUGGGCGUAAAGGGUGCGUAGGCGGGUCUUUAAGUCAGGGGUGAAAUCCUGGAGCUCAACUCCAGAACUGCCUUUGAUACUGAAGAUCUUGAGUUCGGGAGAGGUGAGUGGAACUGCGAGUGUAGAGGUGAAAUGCGUAGAUAUUGGGAGGAACACCAGUGGCGAAGGCGGCUCACUGGACCGGAACUGACGCUGAGGUGCGAAAGCGUGGGGAGCAAACAGG
rnacentral:rRNA from 1 species